rnacentral:rRNA from 1 species
CCUACGGGUGGCAGCAGUGGGGAAUUUUGGACAAUGGGCGCAAGCCUGAUCCAGCUAUUCCGCGUGUGGGAUGACGGCCCUCGGGUUGUAAACCACUUUAGUAGAGAACGAAAAGGAGCUAUCGAAUUAAUAGCUCUGCUGACGGUACCUUAAGAAUAAGCACCGGCUAACUACGUGCCAGCAGCCGCGGUAAUACGUAGGGUGCGAGCGUUAAUCGGAAUUACUGGGCGUAAAGGGUGUGCAGGCGGCUGGUUAAGUCAGAUGUGAAAUCCCCGGGCUUAACGUGGGAACCGCAUAUGAAACGGGUAAGCGAGAGUGCGUGAGAGGAAAGUGGAAUUCCAGGUGUAGGAGUGAAAUGCGUAGAUAUGUGGAAGAACACCAGUGGCGAAGGCAGCCACCUGGGACGCAACUGACGCUGA